rnacentral:rRNA from 1 species
UAUUGUUUAUUUGAUAGUACCUUACUACUUGGAUAACCGUGGUAAUUCUAGAGCUAAUACAUGCUAAAAGCCCCGACUUCGGAAGGGGUGUAUUUAUUAGAUAAAAAACCAAUGCCCUUUGGGGCUCCUUGGUGAUUCACAAUAACUUAACGAAUCGCAUAGGCCUUGUGCCGGCGAUGGUUCAUUCAAAUUUCUGCCCUAUCAACUUUCGAUGGUAGUGUAUUGGACUACCAUGGUUUCAACGGGUAACGGGGAAUUAGGGUUCUAUUCCGGAGAGGGAGCCUGAGAAACGGCUACCACAUCCAAGGAAGGCAGCAGGCGCGCAGAUUACCCAAUCCCGACACGGGGAGGUAGUGACAAUAAAUACUGAUACAGGGCUCUUUUGGGUCUUGUAAUUGGAAUGAGUACAAUUUAAAUCCCUUAACGAGGAACAAUUGGAGGGCAAGUCUGGUGCCAGCAGCCGCGGUAAUUCCAGCUCCAAUAGCGUAUAUUAAAGUUGUUGCAGUUAAAAAGCUCGUAGUUGAACCUUGGGCCUGGCUGGCCGGUCCGCCUCAUCGCGUGCACCUGGUCCGGCCGGGCCUUUCCUCCUGGAGAGCCGCAUGCCCUUCGCUGGGUGUGUCGGGGAACCAGGACUUUUACUUUGAAAAAAUUAGAGUGUUCAAAGCAGGCCUAUGCUCGAAUACAUUAGCAUGGAAUAAUAGAAUAGGACGUGUGGUUCUAUUUUGUUGGUUUCUAGGACCGCCGUAAUGAUUAAUAGGGAUAGUCGGGGGCAUCAGUAUUCAAUUGUCAGAGGUGAAAUUCUUGGAUUUAUUGAAGACGUAACUACUGCGAAAGCAUUUGCCAAGGAUGUUUUCAUUAAUCAAGAACGAAAGUUAGGGGA